AACCCUCAUGCUGCCUAGCGGUGGCUGUCCAGGGUUCCAGGGACGAGUUCUGGGCAGGCGCUCUGCACAUGCUCAGAUGCACUUCCUUCGCAAUUCAGAUCCAGCGUUGGGAACACAGUGAAGCCCCGGCUCAGGACCUCAAAUAUGUCAUUUACUGAAACUGAAACAUGGCAGGGAGGUCUUGCACCCCUCCUGUGUCCCUGGCCUUUGAACUCAGGGGUGGCCAACACGCUGCUCUCCUGAGAAUGCUGGUCUAGAGUUCCGAUCAUCCCUGGCCAGCCGCUGGGGAUUAUGGGAGCUGUAGUCUUCUUCCCAGCAUUCCUCAUUAAUUCCUUGCCUUUUUAAGGCAACAUUUCACAACAGAAAACUGCAUGCACCCGGCAACACGUACCUGGGCGACUGUGAAUCUACGUGUCGUGUGAACAACUCCCAUGGAGGUCUCUUCCAGCUCCACAAUUCAACGAUUCUGCGGUUCUAAUCCAGGCUGCCUCAACCUCGGCCCUCCAGAUGUUUUGAGACUACAAUUCCCAUCAUCCCCGACCACUGGUCCUGCUAGCUAGGGAUCAUGGGAGUUGUAGUCCCAAAACAUCUGGAGGGCCGAGGUUGAGGAAGCCUGUUCUAAUCCCUCAGGAAUACCCCUCUUCAUGAGACCCUGAAAAUAUGGGUGCCCCCAGGGCGACAAAGAGGGCAGUUCCCACCCCCUCCAUAUGAACCAUAAUCUCCAGAUCCCCGUUUUUCAUUCAAAAAAUCAAGAAUAAGUUUCUAGCCUUUGUAGAACCUGAGAUAGGAGGAACAACGUACAGGUGCUUUUCUAAUUUUUUGGGGGGUGUUAACUUGCUCUCUCUCUUUCUGAGUUUUCCUUUGCCCCCCUCCCCUUGGAAAAUCCCUGACUGAUGCCUGGGAAUAUCUGUUUGUCUGCAGGAGGCAAGAUGAGUUUUUUGUUCUGUUCCAGCAAGGCUCCCCUGAUGCGCUUUCAUCCAUUUCAUUUCAUUUUUAAAUUUGUAUACCGCUUUUAACUCACCCGAGUCACAAAGCGGCUUACGUACAAUAAAUAAUACCAUAGCAGAACACCGCAAUCACAACAUAAAUCAUGUAAAAUAAUUAACAAAUCAUCGGUAAAACAACCUCCUUCAAUAAAGCACUGUUAACGAAACAGCUUAACAAAUAGGCUAAACAGCACAACCACGAGAAAAGUCAUAUUAUAAAAUUAUCCUGAAUACCAUCAGUUUGCUGUGAUUCCUGCAUCUCAGGGGGUUGGGCUGGAUGACCUUUGAGGGUCCCUUGCAACCAAUUUUAUGGUUAUACCCAUAACCCUGCAAUAUAGUGAACCUCAAAUGUAUGUUGAUCACUAUAAUUCGCUCUGUGGGAAUGUUCAGGGAGACAGGAGAGGAUAUAUUGUUUAUUAAUACCCUUCCUAACUUGUGCUAGCAAGUUCUAUAACUUAGCAGACUUUCACUUUCCCCUUUAAAAUGCACAGUGGGUAGCUGGUUGCAGGCUCGUGUAAGCCUCUCACUAUUAGGUUCCUGGUAAGUCACCUUAUAUCCCUCUUAAAAGAAUAAACAAGCCACAAUCUUGUGUAAAGUAGUUUACUCACAUUCUGUUCACAGUUGGAUCCCUGAAGGCAGACUUAGGUACAAAGUAUAUACAUUUGGAUGUACCCCAUAUGGGGAUAAUCCCAGUGUCCUCUGUUGGCUGGAAGCCAACAGAGCAUCUCUAGCUAGAAAGCUGAUCCAACGAUGCAUGGCGUCAAAGAAAGAGUGUGCUGCGUGUCCUAUCCUUUUGUGUUACCUGGACAGGUAAGGUCACAUCCACAUUCAGUCACAUGCAAAGGAAGGAUGCUCCAGCCAGGAGGAAACAGGAAGUAUUCAACUGGCUGGACCAAACAUCCCCCUGCAUGUCCACUCUAGGAAAACGAGGAAUGUUGUACUUGACUGCUCCUUAUGUAUCACAUCCCACACCCUUAACAGUAGAGCCCCACACUAGAGGCAAUGAGUCACACACAUCUGAGCUGCGCAGGGAGAAAUGAGUCUCAAUUUACAAGCCCCGAUCCCUGCGUUGCACGGGUUCGACUAGGUGAGCUUUGGGUGUCCCUUGCAACUCUGAAACUCUAUGCUUCUAAGUCCUAUUGAGCUCAACAGGACUUAACAUUGAGUUACGUGCAACAUGAAUGACCCACGCCGGGGUCAUUUUGCAGCAGUUGGCGGUUCUCCAUGUUCAGACAGCAGGACACACACACACACACACACACACACACAAUAAUGUGGGUGCAGCGAACCCCAAAUUAUUUCCAUCCAAGCUCCUUAUUCUUGAUCCACUGCUUGUUUCCGGGGAAACCCUAUAUUCCACCCUCCUUUGCACAUCCAAGGAAAUGAGUGCAGUUUCCUCACUUGGCGCCAGACGAAACCAAGGCAGAUCAAGAGUCCCUAGUCACCCCCAGUCUUAAACUCAGAGCCUCCUAAUUAUUCUGAGAUAAGGAAGCAACUUGCAGGGUUAUUAUCUCAGAAUAGUAAGACCUCCCCCUGCCCCAUCAACGGAUCUGGGUUCACCGUCUGUUUUCCUUGAGCUAUCAGAAGCGAUUCUGCUGCAACGAAUUAGCCGGGCAGCUAAAGUCUAGGGAAAAAAUGUGUUUUUAGACUUCUUUCCCUGUCCUGCUUCGAAAUCAGGGACUUUUGCUGAAUUCCUCGACUGCAGGGGGAAUUCCGCAGGGCUUCACUGGUGACGGGGGAAUAAAGAUAGAAACCAGAAAAAUGAUAAUAUUCAGCCGCAACACCCAGAAGCAAUGAAUGAGAGUGGCAUUUGAAAGCUGUCUCAGGGACUUGGCCACACCCACCUUUCACCCAGCUCUUUCCUGACACAGCUCUGUGCUUUAAAGCUCCAUCUUUCCCCCCACGAAAAGAAACACUCUUGAGUGCAUUAUCAGAGCAAAUGUCAAUUCAGGUUUCCUGCCCAUUGCUGUUUGCUCCGAUUCAGCUUUAGAGAUCGAGGUUCUGGUGGGGGGGGGAAGGGCGGUGCUCGGCGGUGCUUUAAAGUGUGGGAAUGUUCAGGGAUGCAGGAGAGCAUAUAUUGUCUGAUUAUAGCCUUUCCAACUUGUGUUCACAAUUUAGCAGAGUAACAUCCCCCUUUUUAAACUCACAGCGGAUGCGUUUGCUCAGGCUCGCUCAAGCCUCUAUAAUAACUGUUGUGGUAUUUCCCCCUUAUUCCCUCAUAAAAGAUAAGACACGACACAGUCUUCUAUAAAAGUAUAAAAAGAGUUUACUCACAUUCUGUUCACAAUCGGAUCCCAGAAGGCAGACUUAGCUUAGAAAAGUAACAUACACCUGGAGACUAUCUCAUAAGGAGAUAGUCCCUAGGCAGAUGUUGCUUCUUCGAUGCAUGUAGUCAAAAAGAGAGAGAUGGCUGCCCUGCCCUGUGCUUUUGUCGUUACCUGCACAGGUGAGGCCACGCCCACCUCUAGUCACAUGCAGAGGAAGUCUGUCCCAGCCCAGAAGGAAACAGGAAGUUGACCUGCUGGCUGGACAAACAUUCCUCCCCAUGUGUAAACAUGUUCACUCUAGGAAUGUUGUACUUGACUGCUCUUGUGUUUCACAUCCCACAUAAAGAGUGAGCCAUGCCUGGAAAGAGUGGAGGAAAUGUACGUGUGAACAAGGAAGUGUGCAUUAGCUGAGAUUCCUGCAUGGCAAAGGGGUCAGGCUGGAUGACCCUUGGUAGCCCCACCCCCCAACUCAACAGUUCUAUGAUUCUUACAGCUUAAGAGCUGCAGUGAUUCUCCCACAACCAGCUGGGAGAAAUCAUUGAGUCUGGGUGAGUGUUUUAUGGUGCAACUGGGGUGGGAAGAGGGUAGACAGAAUCAUUGAAUCAUAAUGUUGGGAGGGGCCCUCAAGGAUCAUCCAGUCUAACCCCUUGCAAUGCAGGGACCUCAGCAAAAGAAUCCCUGGCUGACAUGCAACUGGGAGGGCCAAGGCCACUAAGCAAGCCAAAGGCAGGUGCCAGCUGUUUUUUCACAUUGCCCCAUCGCUCUGAUGGGCAAACCGAUCCCAAUACACUCAUCAAAGGGAAAUGCUUUGUUGCAAAAAUAAAUCCAGAAAUUCAUAACAGGUGGCAAAAUGCAAAAAGCCUGCCUUCUACCCUGUUGCAAGACUCCGCUGCGAAAGAAUGAAGUCUGCCAAAUGCAAAAGCUGACGCCUCUGGACAUGUCUCUGGUCGGAACUCGAACCCGUAGCCUCCCUUCGCUGGCACUGGAACGCUGCUCCUACCCAUUGCUACGCCUCUCCUUUGCCAAAGAGCCGCUCCGCUUUCCUUUUCCGGCUAACGCUGCGCACCAAAGGCCGUGGCUCAAGUCUGGGGGGAAAGAAAUCUCAGCCUAACUAACCUAAGCGUGAGAUGCAUUGCAAAUCGGGGUUGGACUGGAUGACCUUCAGGGGUCCCUUCCAACUUGGCAGUCCUAUAAUUCUAUGCUGCAGCUGCAUGACCGAUGCAGCAAGUUGCUGGGAAUCAAGCUGGGGAGACGCUCAAGACUAGGACUGAGCCCUGUGGCAAUAUUCCCUUCCUCUUCCUCUUCAUUUUAUGGGCCAGCCCACUUGGACUAUUAGGGUAUUUUGGGGGUUGGGGGCAGAAUUCCAAGGUCACGGGGGAAAUGGAUCAAGCCGGUGUUUUGCAAAGUUGCAAAGGUGACCCUGCAUUUUGCUAUUUUUCCACAGGCGAAGAAGAAUUAACCCCCCCCCCCCAAUUUCUAAUACUUGACAUUGUAUAUAAUGUUAGAUAUGGGAUUUUAAAGAAGAGCUAUUUAUUAUAAAUGACGCUAUGUACACACCAUAUCGACGUAGACGUGAUCUCUUGCAAGGGUAUUGCAGGGGGGGAACUUGCUUCCGAGCAAUUGGGGAGAAUUUUAUUCUUAGCUGGGGGUUUUUUCACCCAUAGAAAAAUAAAGAGUUGGGGGGUUGGGGGGGUGGAAUAAAAUGCUCCUGGACAAAUCUUCUCUCUUUCUCAUGCCAAAGCAUAUUUGUACUGCUCUUUUACUUUCAUUUUAGAAACAAAAUAAAGUCUGAAUUCAAGAUC
rnacentral:lncRNA from 1 species